rnacentral:rRNA from 1 species
UACGGGGGGGGCAAGCGUUGUUCGGAAUUACUGGGCGUAAAGGGCUCGUAGGCGGCCAACUAAGUCAGACGUGAAAUCCCUCGGCUUAACCGGGGAACUGCAUCUGAUACUGGAUGGCUUGAGUUCGGGAGAGGGAUGCGGAAUUCCAGGUGUAGCGGUGAAAUGCGUAGAUAUCAUUUGGAACGCCAAUGGUGAAAACAGCUCGCUGGGGGUUUGCUGACGCUGAGACACGAAAGCCAGGGGAGCAAACGGG